rnacentral:lncRNA from 1 species
UACACUAAACCUGCAGAUGAUGUUCCCCAUACAAAGUCUAUCAUCUUGCGGGCUGUGAUUGUGGGGAUUGCCUCAGCCUUUGGCCAUUUGGAGAAGUAUUCCACAGCUACUACUACAAAUUUUUUCUGUCCCGUGGUCUUGGGAAAAGGUCCCAGGAUGUCUAUCCCCCACUGCGAGAAUGGCCACAGGCUGGAAAUGCCGGAUUGAGGAGUGGCUGGGACAUUGAUGGCGUUGGCAAACCUCUGGCAUACAUCGCAUCUUCGGACAAACUCCUCUGCCUCCUUCUUGACAGUGGGCCAGUAGUACCCUUGCCUGAAUAUCUUAUUAGCCAGCGUUUCUGCUCAUUCAUGAGCUCCACACAUUCCCCUGUGUAUCUCUUCCAUCACCUUUAUUGCCUCCUCCGGGCUCACGCAUCGGAGUCACGGGCUGGAUUUUCCUCUUCUGUAUAAAGUCCCCCUUACUGCUUGGUAAUUAGCGGCACGAGCUGCUAUCUUUUUUGCUUCAUCUUUGUCCUCGGGGAGCUUUCCUUUUUCUAGGUACUCCAGGUACGGGGUCAUCCAAGUCUGAUUCUGCUCCACCUGCAAUACAGUGGCCGUUUUGUCAAAGGCAGGUGUGCCAAUAUGCUGUAUGUAUACCUCAUCAAGGAGUUGUUCUAGUUCUUCUCUGGUUAGCCGACUGAGCAAGUCUGCUUCCUCAUUCUCUUCUCGAGGUAUUCUUUGGUAUUUAACUGUGACUCCCCGACCCUUGAGCUCGGCUUCUAUGGCUUUUACCUUUGCCAGGUAAUUCUGCAUGGCUGGGUCUCUGGCCUGAUACGCCCCGGUUAUCUGAUUAAUCACCAGCUGGGAAUCACUAUUCACUUCGAGGUCGGUUGUCCCUACCUCCAUUGCUACCAGCAUCCCAUUUAUUAGGGCUUCAUACUCUGCCACAUUAUUAGAGGCCUUAAAUUCUAGGCGCAAGGCAUAGCAGACUUUGAAUUCUUCAGGUCCCUUCAACAUUAUUCCUGCGCCACUGCCUCCAGCGCCUGAUGCCCCGUCAACAUACAACUUCCAGCUAAACUCCUGAGAGGACUGCCCUUCUCUCUCAUUUUCUAACUGUUUCGAAGAUGGUUCACCUUGUUCGAUCUGUUCUUCAUUGAAUGAACACUCUGCUAUGAAGUCAGCAAGGGCCUGAGAUUUUAUGGUUGUCCGAGGUCGGUAUUCUAGACAGUAAGGGCUAAUCUCAAUGGACCAAGCCAACAUCCGACCUGAUGUUUCUGGUCUGUGGAGGAUCUUCUUUAGAGGCUGGUCUGUCAUCACUACUCCCUGGUGGCUUUCCAGAUAGACCCUAAACCUCCGGACUGCUAGCAACAGAGCGUAUGCCAUCUUCUCGAUGUUCAAAUAUCUGAUCUCGGCAUCUUUAAGCACCUUGCUGACAUAGAAGACAGGCUUCUACUCCCCUCCUUCCACCCUAACCAACACGGCACUGACGGCUUAUUCUAAGGCUGAUAAAUAAAUCAGGAGCUCUUCUCCCUCUAUCGGACUGUUGAGCACAUGAGGCGAGCUAAGAUAACUUUUGAGCUCUUUGAAAGCUUCUCGGCAGUCCUCAGUCCAUUUGAAGUUCGGCACUUUCCUCAACUUCUUAAAAAACGGCAAGCAUCUUUUGGCCGACCUUGACAUGAAGCGAUUGAGCGCCACCACUCUCCCGGUAAGUCUCUGGACGUCUCUUACGCAGGUUGGCUCUGGCAUGUUCAAGAUAGCUUUCACUUUCUCAGGAUUGGGCUCAAUGCCUUUCCCACUUACCAUGUACCCCAGGAAUUUUCCUCCCCUGAUGAAGAAGGCACAUUUCGCUGGGUUCAGCCUCAUUCUGUACUGUUUAAGCACCUCGAAUACCUCCCUCAGAUCUACCAUGUGCUGUUGGAAGGUUGGGCUUUUGACCACCAUAUCAUCUACAUAAACUUCUACAUUCCUGCCGAUCUGACUUUUGAAGAUUUUGUUCAUCAGUCUUUGGUAUGUUGCCCCGGCGUUCUUCAGCCCGAAAGGCAUGGCCUUAUAGCAGUAGGUCCCAUCCUCCGUUAUGAACAAGGUUUUUUCUUCAUCCGACCUGUCCAUUGGAAUUUGGUGGUAACCAGACAUAGCAUCCAAAGACGACAUAUAAUCAAAACCGGCCGUAGAGUCGACCAUUUUAUUAAUAUCAGGGAGGGGGUAACAAUCUUUGGGGCAUGCUUGAUUUAGGUCAGUGAAGUCUAUACACAUCCUAUAUUUGCCAUUGGCUUUUUUGACUAAUACAGGAUUUGCUAACCAUUACCACUUCCCUAAUAAACCCGGCCUCUUCUAGCUUUCGUACCUCCUCCCUGGUGGCCUGUUGUUUUUUCCUUCCUACCACCCUUUUCUUCUGCUUCACCGGCCUGGCUUCUGGGAGGACAUUCAGCUUGUGCGUCAUUACUCUAGGGUCAAUCCCGGGCAUGUCAGAAGGCUUCCAGGCGAAACUUGACGCGUGACCUCGGAUCAGGGCCAUGACCUCGGUUUUCUGCUCUUUGGUGAGGCCGGCAUUGAGACUGAAGACUUUAUCUGCCUCUGCUUCUGAUAAGGGAAAAGUCUCCAAUUCUCCGACCGGCUCUGUCCUGGCCUCUUUCUUUUCGUCCCUGACCUCAAGCACCUCUGAGUCUAGCUUCUCUCCUACCGAGCUCGGCUCUGCCACUGCGGCUAGGUACACCGCUCUUGCCUCUUCCUGGCUUCCCCUGACCACUCCCACUCCUUCCUCCAUUGGGAAUUUCAUGGCCAGGUAUCUGAUGCUUGUGACGGCCUCGAAAUCGAAUAGUGCAGGUCUUCCCAGUAUUGCGUUGUAGCUCAGGGAGAGUUUGACCACUAAGAACACCGCGUAGUGGGUGCGAGUUCUUGGCGUUUUGCCUAAAGUGAGAGCCAGUUUUACCUUCCCCUCCACGGGUACUGGGACUCCUCCAAUCCCCUUGACCGGUGCCUGAUCCCGGACCAACUGUUCCUCAGGGAUUCCCAUUUGUUGAAAAACUCUGUAGGGUAGCAGAUUCACCUUGCUUCCAUCAUCCACCAAGAUCUUCUUCACCCGGUAGUUGUGAAUGAUGGCUUCAAUGACAAGGGCGUCGUCAUGAGGCAUUUGAACACCCUGAGCAUCCUCCGGAGAGAAAGUGAUGGCCAUAGGAGUAUGCUCGACGACCUGCAUGACUUCGGCGCUGCUGCUUUCUCCCUCUCGACUCCUCUUUCUUCCCCUUCAGCUCAUCCGACCUCCUGACCCUCCGACAAUCAUGUUGAUGGUCCCACUGGACCCAUCAUUCACUGGUCCUGCUCCCGCUCUCCUGGGGGUUUGACCGCUGGGUUGGGCUGAGGCCUCUGUCCCUCCGGUUUCUUCACAAAGUUUCUGAGGUGUCCUCUUUUUAUCAGCCUCUCGAUCUCAGCAAUCAACUGGUAGCAGUUAUUGGUGUCAUGGCCAUGUGUACGAUGAUACUGACAGUAUUUGUCAGGAUCUUGCUGGUUUGCUUCAGCUUUCAUAGGUCUGGGCCAUUGAAGGAACUCCUUGUCCUGUACUGCCAUGAGCACCUCGGCUUUGGAGGCGUUGAGCGGGGUCAGGUUCUCUGGAAUCCACGGAGGGAGCGAUUUCUGUUCUGGGACCCUAGGAGGGAGGGGUCUUUGGUCCCUUCGCUCCCAAGGCUGUCUGUAGGGCUCAGGCCUUCUGCCUUGCUUCUUCUCCUGCUUUUCCGGCCUCCUUUCCUCCGGGGCUUUCCCCUUAUCUGCCACUCCUUUGGCGAACCUACUUAUCAUCAAGGCAUCAUCCUGCCUUAUGUAUUUCUCUGCCCUCUUCAUCAGUUCGGCCAGUGAGGUAGGAGGCUUCCUGCUCAAUGAGUCAAAGAACUUGGGCGAGGUCGUCCCUUUCUGCAUGGCCUCCACUGCUCUACCCUCAUCUAGCUCAGGAAUCUGCAAGGCCUCUGUAUUGAAAUGACCAACGUAUUCCCUGAGCAGUUCAUCCCUUCUCUACCUGACUGUCUCCAGAUAACUUGUCUUUCUGUCUGCAGGCACCCCGACAAUGAAUCGGCUGAUGAAGCGAGUGGCCAGAUCUCCAAAGCUUCUGAUGCUUCCGGUCUCAAGGCUGUUAAACCAUGCCCGUGCUGGCCCCGAGAGCGUCGUUGGGAAUACCUUGCACAUCAAGGCAUCUGAUAAAGUCUACAGUUCCAUGAAAGUUUUGUAGUUCAAGACGUGCUCUCAGGGGUUCCCAGCUCCGUCAUAUGCGGCCAUAGGCGGCAUCAUAAAUUUUUUGGGGAUGAUCUCCUGCUGCACCCACUUUGAGAAGGGCGAAGAGUUUGGCUGGGGUCCUUCGCCCCUAACUCGGCCAAAAGCUGCUCUCUCAUCUUCUGCAACUUUUGAUCUAUGCUCUCUUCUUCAUGUCUGGGCCUUUUUUCCAAGCGACAUUCCUCCUCCCAUGCCUCGCUCCCUGUUCUUCCGGUUGUUCCGGCAGAGUAACUACCGGCCUCAUCAUUCCCUAUCAGCUCCCUCACCCUCCUUCCGUGGACUCGGACCUCUGGUUCUUCCUCUCCCCCGGUUCUUCGCCCCCUUUCUCCGUUUUCUCGGCUGACGGCUUGAGGGUGAUUGAAGGUAGGUUGAGGUUCAUUGGUCUGGGGUUCUUCUACUACUGGCGACACAUUCGCAGGGGUGCUAAGGCCCCUCUGUUGCAACAUCUGCCCCAGCCAAUGGGCGGUGUUUUGUAACUGGAGGGCCAUGGCUUGGAGGUCCUGGUUGGAUAAGACAGCUCCAGACAUGUUCCCUGCCGGGUUCGGCGAGGGGUUGAAGGGGAUGGGUGGUUGGUUGUUUGGAGUUGUAGGACUGGAGAAAGAGAACUGCUGCCCCUCUUGGACAGAGUUCAGGUCAUUGGGAGUGUUAAUAGUAUUGUUUUCAUUGUGGUUAGCUAUCGUGGAUCUCAGUGGGUAUUGUAAGAGUGGAACUCCGGCGAUGAAAAGAUCUCCUUCAUCCCCACAGACGGCUCCAAUUGAUGAUAUGAGAUCCAUAAAAAUAGGGUUUUACAAGGGUUCUGUAAACUUAGCAAAAACUUAGGUCUAGAGGAGGGCAACCCUCCUUUUAUCUGUUUUCUUUUGUCCGCUAGUGAUGUAUAAUAAACUGUCUAUCAUUGGGCCACCUGUCCCUGCCAUGUUGAUUCGAACGUACGAGAAUAUCAUAUCCCUGCCCCAUGCGUAACGGCCUCUGAUUCUCCCCGAGCGCGCGUGUGGAUGGACCCACAAGACAGAUGGGUUGAUCUCCUUCCUGGUUCCGGGCUGGGCCGAAAGAUAAGAUUAAAGCGGGGCCCAGAGGGGAUCUGCUUGAGGGGCUAUGAAGGCUGGGACGGCCUGGUUGAGAAAUUCAGAUGGAGCCCGGUCUCAAGGCUUGAGCGGACUGGAUCUGGUUUGCGUGGGAGGCAUGAGUAGGGGUGAGCAGUAUUCGGUUCAAACCGAAAAAACCGACCGAACCGAACCGAUUUGAGAAUUUAGUUCGAUUUUUUUUACAUUUCGGUUCGGUUCGGUUUUUAAUUUCAGAAAUUUUAGUUAUUUCGGUUCAGUUCGGUUUUGAUCAGAAAAAAUCGAAAAAACCGAACCGAAUCGAUUAGUGAUAAUAAUAUGUUUUUUCAAUAAUAUAGAGAAAUUAAAUCAUAUUAAAAUUAAAAUAUUUUAAUUAAAUUUUAAAAUAUUAAAAAUAAAGUGUAAAAAAUAAAAAAAUUAUUAAAAAUGAAAUUGAUAAAACCGAAUUGAAUCGAACCGAAUCAGAUCGAUUUGGUUCGAUUUGAUUUCUAACCAAAAUCGGUUCGGUUCGAUUUUCAUAAACACUAAAAUUUCAUUUUCAGUUUAUUCGGUUCCGAACCGAUCGAAUGUUCACCCUUAGACAUGAGGGUCUCCAGAUGAUGGGCUAUUGUCAUGGGCCUGACCCCAAACCGGGAUAAAAAAACUCAGUGGUCAUCAUCUUGUAUUUUAAUUCAAAUUAAUGGUGUAAUUUAUAUAAAUUUAAAAUUAUUAUAUCUACUUGAUUACAUUUUAGUAUAGUCUAAAAUAAAACAUUAUGAAAAUUAAUUAAAAUUAUUUCCGUGACUUUGAUAUUUUAAAGCUUUUCAUCGAUUUUUAUGCAAAAAUAAAUAAAAAAGUAAUUUUUUAUUUCAAUAAAAAAUGAGAAAUUUAUAUUUGAAAGAUAGAUUAAUAUCUUAUUAAUUCAUUUUUAUAAAGGAAUAGCAAAAAGAAUAAUAAAUUUAUCUUUUUAUUUUUUCAAGUUUUGAAACAAAAAUUAUCUCACAUCUAAUUAGAUUUAAAAUAUUAUCAUUUUUUUUCUAAUAAGGCUGAUAUUUUUUUAAUUUUUUUAUUAUAUUUAAUAAAAUAUAUGAAAAAUAUUUGUAAAUAAUAAUAACAUAUAUAUAAUAAACUUAAAUAAUAUAUUAUUUUGUUUAUUAUUGAUAUAAGUAAUAAAUUAUUUAUAUAAUUUAUGAUUUGAUUUUUUUGAAUGGAUAAUUUAUGAUUUUAUAUUUAUAAAUGAAAAAAAAAAACUCCUACCCCUUAUUUGAUCCAAAUCAAUUAUUUUUAAAAAGUAAACUUUCUAAAAAGUAAUUUAAUUAAGUGAGGGAAAGUAACUCCUUUCGCUUCUAUCAAGCGAAGAGGUGCUCUAAAAAAUUAUUAACCGCACAAAUAGAAUUUUAACGCUUUCUCAAAUUUGAAAUUAUUUAGUUGACUUAUCUCAACUAAAUAAAAUAUUUUUUAUAUUUUUAAAAUUAUUUUUAGUCAUUUUAUAGGAUUAUAUGGUUAUUUAUAUAUUGAAUCAUAGCAUAUAAAUAAUUACAAAUAAAAGUGUAUUUAUAUAUAUAUAAUUAUUAACCAGUGAUUCCAAAAAGGUUUAAGGAAUGGUGUUUAUAAAAUUUAAAAUAUUUUUCUCUUUUUUAAUAAUUUUUAAGAUUAUCAAUUUUUAAUUUGUACAAAAUAAAAAUUUAAAAAUUUAAAUAUUUAUAUAAAAUUUAAAAGUGUACAGAGAUAGUUAUUAUUUUAUACAUUAGAGUUUCUAAAAUAAUCAAUAAAAGGAAGGUAAAAGUCAAUAUGGUAUGAUGUUUUUUAUUAAAAUUAUAUUAAAAUAUUGACACAAAAAUUUUUCUGUAUUGGAGUAUUCAGAUAAUAUUAUUCUAUUAAUAUUUAUUAAUUAUAAAUUUUUUAUUCAAAUAAAUUUUAAUAUAUUAAUAAAUUAUUUAUAAUAGAAAAUAAAUAAAUAUAAAUAUUACAAUAUAUUAAUUAUAAUGAUUAUUUUUAUAUAAUAAAAAUGUGUAUAUACAUUAAAAAUUAUAUUUUAAAUAUAUAUAAAAUAAUAUAUAUAUAUAUAUAUAUAUAUAUAGUAAAAAAUUGUAUAAUUAGUCAAUUUUAAGAUAUAAUUAGUCGAUCACUACGAGAGUGAGCGGUAUUCGGUUUAAAUAACAAAAAAUUAACCGAACUAAAUUAAUUUAAAAUUUAAAAUAUUUUUAAGUGUAAAAAAUAAAAAAUUUAUUACAAAUCGAAACUGAUCAAAUCAAAUCAAAUUAAACCGAUUCAGUUUGAUUUGAUUUCUAAUCAAAAUCAAUUCGAUUCGAUUUUCAUAAAUAUUAAAAUUUUUCGAUUUAUUCGGACUUUUUGCUUUUUUAAGUUAAAAAUAAAAAUUUCUCAAACCAUAAUCUGAAAAAUAAUUUUUCCGAAUUAGGGUAAAAAGUGACUACCGCAUUCUAAAAAUGCAGUAGAGUCUACCAGAAUAAGUAAAAAAAAAAAAUUUAUUUAGAUGCGGUAAUGCAUGAGCCGCACUCAAUGAGUAUAAAUUUAAUUUUUAUUUAAUUAAUUAUUAUAUUUAUUUAAUUAUAUAUUAAAUUUAUAAAAUAUAAUUAUAAAAAUUAUAAUAAUAUUAUUUAAUAAAUUUUUAUUUAAUUAAUUAUUNNNNNNNNNNNNNNNNNNNNNNNNNNNNNNNNNNNNNNNNNNNNNNNNNNNNNNNNNNNNNNNNNNNNNNNNNNNNNNNNNNNNNNNNNNNNNNNNNNNNNNNNNNNNNNNNNNNNNNNNNNNNNNNNNNNNNNNNNNNNNNNNNNNNNNNNNNNNNNNNNNNNNNNNNNNNNNNNNNNNNNNNNNNNNNNNNNNNNNNNNNNNNNNNNNNNNNNNNNNNNNNNNNNNNNNNNNNNNNNNNNNNNNNNNNNNNNNNNNNNNNNNNNNNNNNNNNNNNNNNNNNNNNNNNNNNNNNNNNNNNNNNNNNNNNNNNNNNNNNNNNNNNNNNNNNNNNNNNNNNNNNNNNNNNNNNNNNNNNNNNNNNNNNNNNNNNNNNNNNNNNNNNNNNNNNNNNNNNNNNNNNNNNNNNNNNNNNNNNNNNNNNNNNNNNNNNNNNNNNNNNNNNNNNNNNNNNNNNNNNNNNNNNNNNNNNNNNNNNNNNNNNNNNNNNNNNNNNNNNNNNNNNNNNNNNNNNNNNNNNNNNNNNNNNNNNNNNNNNNNNNNNNNNNNNNNNNNNNNNNNNNNNNNNNNNNNNNNNNNNNNNNNNNNNNNNNNNNNNNNNNNNNNNNNNNNNNNNNNNNNNNNNNNNNNNNNNNNNNNNNNNNNNNNNNNNNNNNNNNNNNNNNNNNNNNNNNNNNNNNNNNNNNNNNNNNNNNNNNNNNNNNNNNNNNNNNNNNNNNNNNNNNNNNNNNNNNNNNNNNNNNNNNNNNNNNNNNNNNNNNNNNNNNNNNNNNNNNNNNNNNNNNNNNNNNNNNNNNNNNNNNNNNNNNNNNNNNNNNNNNNNNNNNNNNNNNNNNUAGAUAUGAAAAAUAUAAUAUUUUAUCGUAAAUAAAUUAAAAUAAUUAAUAUUUAUAAUAAUAUUAAUAUAAUUUUUAUAAUUAUAUUUAUAUAAAUUUAAUAUAUAACUAAAUUAUAUAAAUUAAUAAAUAUAAUAUUAUAUUAUAAAUAAUUUAAAUUAAUUAAUAUUAAUAUUAAUAUAAAUUUUUAUAAUUUUAUUUUAUAAAUUUAAUAUAUAAUUAAAUAAAUAAAAAUUAAAUUUAUAUUCGUAUUGCAUUACCGCAUCUUAAAGAUGCGGUAAUAUAUUUAAAUAAAUUUUUUUAUUUAUUCUUUCUUACUGCGUUUUUGAAAUGCGGUAAGCGUUAUCGCAUGUUUUAAAAUAUAGUAUAAUUACUUUUUAUCCUAUGAAAAAAUUUUUUUUUUCUAAUUUGAAAAAGCAAAACGCCCGAUUUAUUCAUACCGAAUAAACAUCUCUACCCACUAACAGUUUUAGCUAUUAAUAACAUUUUAUCAAUUAUUAGCUUUUAGAUGUAUUCCACAAUUAAAACAAAUAGACUUAUAUUAUUGUAUUUUAGAUCUGCACUACAUUUAAAACUGUUUUACAUUAAUUGAUAACUGUUUUUGCUUUAUUUUUUUAUUAGGCUAUAAUAUUCCUUUUAAAUUUUAUUAAUUAUAAUUUUUAUACUCAAAUUUAAUUAAUUAAUAUUUUUUAAAUUUAUUAUAUUAUUAUAAAAAAUUAAUAUAUGUUAAUAUUAAUUAUUUUAUAUAUAAAUAAUAAUAGUUAAAAAUAAUUUAUCAAAUACCUAAUAUAUAUUAAAUAGAAUCAGCUAUCAUUAGUCAUCAAUUAUAAUCCACUAUCAAUUAACCACUUUAUUAACUAUAAAUCAUAUUCUACACUUAAAUAAAACGAGCUUAAUUGUUGUCUUUCGAAGAUAAAAUUCAUUUUUGAAUUAUAAAUUCGUAAAUUUUUGUGUUUGAUAGACUUAAGCACUAUUUGAUUUAAAUAAAAAAAUUAAUUAAAUCAAUUUAAUCUAGUAAUUCGUUACGGUUUAUAUAGUAAAUUGGUUCAAUUUGAUUUUAUUUUUAAAAAUUUUUAGUUUAAUAAGUUUGAUUCCUAAAAUUUAAUGUUUAAUUUUUUUAAUUCGAUUUAAUUUUUAACCGGAUUGAUCACUGCUCGGAUUAAUCGGCGAGGUUUGUCGGGCGACUAGUUUUGAGCUUAAUGUAAUGUUUUUUUAAUUAUAUUUAGUUAGGAUCUGCUGAUUAUCUCUAUGGUAUCAUAACCGGGCUUUGCUCUUCUUAUGAAUUAACCGUUAUCUAAAAAAAAAAUUAAUGGUUCGUUUUAUACGAAAACUGCUGAAAAGUCUUCGGAAAAGUUGGCAUCUGACGGCACCGACCAUAAAGUAUGAAGAAGUUUACGCUAUAUAUGCAUAUGAAUAAUACUUAAUUUUUUUUUUGGGAAAAAAAGGAUAAUAGUUAAAUUUUUCUUGAUGUUACUAAAUUUAGGUGUUAUAUUAUAUAAAAAAUUAAAAAAAUUAUUAUUUAAUUUUUAUCUUAUAAAACUCAGUCAUUUUAUUUUAAAAAAUAUAUUAAAAUAUUUUUAAAAAUUUAUUAAUUUAUUUUUUCAUUAAUUUUAAUAAUUAAAUAUUUUAUUAUAUAAUAUCUAUAAUUUUAAAAAAUUUAUUAAUUAAUAUUUUAAAUUUUUAAAAGUCUAUUUACUAUUUUUUUUUAUAAUAUUAGUAUUUUAAUUUUUUUUUAUAUUUAACGGUUAAAAUUAUAAAAAAAAUUAAUUAGUAAAAUUUUUAAAAUAUUAUAUAUAUUUUAAUAUAUUUUUUUAAAUAGAGAUUUAAAUAGAUAAUUUUUUUAAAAUAAUUUAUUUAUAAAUAUAAAAAUUAUUUUAAUUUAUUAUAAUUGGUUUCUUACUUAUGAUUAUUAUUUUUUGAAAUAACUUAUUAUUGGUAUGCUUUAUUUCAUUUAUAGCGUUUUUCUUUUUUACAUAUUUCUACCAUGAUAUAUGCACAUCGGGUACCUUUGAUCCUGCAGGGUGUAGCUAAGUAUACUUGGAGUAGGACCGCUUUCUCUGGAAUUUACCCAUGAAAAAAAUGACUGUCAACGGUCAGCAAUGGCAGAUUCAACGCCCGUUUAUUCCUCAAUUCCAUGCUCAGAACAUCCCCCAUGUUCGGAAAUGUAGUCUUUUUCCACUCUUCACUCGAAAUUGCUCCCUCAAGUCUUCAGGUUUGAUUCCUCCAUAAAAUUUUGUAUCUUUGAUAGUCUGGUUGGUAGAAUUUUCUACUUGAUUGCUAUGUAUAUUUGUUUUUUAGAGUUGUGUGUGGGUUUCUCAGUUCAGUCAAACCCCCAUUCUAAGUGUGAGUUUGAGUUUCUUCAUCUUCUUUUCUCCAUUUUUUUUUUGUUUUAUUGAUUUUUCUUGGCAUCGUUUAAAUGGGUUUCUGUUCUUUCAAAUGAGUUGCUUGAAUUGAUAUUGUAGUAGUUGGGAGUCCCAGAAUUUUAGUCGGCAGAUGCGUAUCAGAGAAGUUUUCGGAUCAUUUCGAGCAGGAUGCAGGCCAGAAUUUUAUAACCGAACAAAAGGUGCAUACAUUUUUUGUUUGUUGUAUCACCAUGCUCUUCCUGUACUGAGUUUCUGCAUUAAUUUAUUGGACUAGUAACAGAGCUACUGUGCAUAAGAUUUCCCAAGCGUUUGCAGACCAAAUUGAAUUCUUGUAACGUAUGGGUUACUGGGUAUUUCGUUGUUGUGAUUACUGAUCUUAGUCACAUGCCUUAUGGUUUCAUUUUUUUUCUUUUUGGUACUUGGAAGGAUUGUAAGAGAAAUAGGAAAUCUUCAGUGAGAUAUAGAGGGUUACCAUAUACAUCCUGACAAAGCAGUAAAGACUAUCUUUUUCAAACAUAACGAGUGUGAACAGCUAUGCAUGAAUAGAUGACAAUAAUGUUAGGCAAAAGAUGUUGAAUUCCACAUUUCUUAAAAUGUUAUCAAAGCUUCCCAUCCAAUGUUGGCCUCCUACAAGUAUUUCAUGGUCCCCAGUUUGGUCAUGGAUGUAAGGAGUGUGUUGAAUUCCAGAUUGGCUUGGCAUAGAGGUAAUGUGCCUCUUGUAAGGUUUUGGACAUUCCUCUCCCUUGAGCUAGCUUAUAGGGAUGAAUUAGGGCAGACCCAUUUUCUUAAGAAAAUGAGAAAACUAUCACAAACUCUGAAAUUAAUUUUACUCUUGUUCCUGUUGUAAUUGCUUUUUUGAACUUGCAUCUGUUUGCUUUCUUUGUUUGCGUUCAUCGCCUUAUAAUUAGUUAUCCCAGGCUCAUAUUGAUGUUACUAGCUGCAUUUCUUAUUUCAGAUGGUUGAGGAGAAGAAUUUUUCUGUACUGAAUAUCUUGAAGCAAUCAAAUUCGCUUCUGCCUCAUGCAGUUCUUGCUAGUACGCUUUUGGCUCUCGUUUAUCCACCCUCUUUCACAUGGUUCACCUCCAGGUUAUUAUAAGUUUCUCUAAAGAAAUCAACAAUUUACUAUGCUUUUGUUUUCAUGAGUAGUUUGAACUUCAAAGUAAAUUUUUUUUUUUAAAAGUUCACUAGGGGUGAGCAAACGAUUGCUUCAGUUUUGAAGAUUAUUAGAAUUAUCAAAAUUGAGCUAAACCAAAAUUCGUCAAGGAACCAAACCAAAAUUAGUCUAUGUAUGUUUCAAUCCACUACUCACAAAAAAGGGAAAUUAGUCAAUAAAUAACCUUAUCAAACUUCAAUUAAAAAAUAAAAUUUCAACUAAAACUUGAAUACAAAUUGAAUAAUUGAAAUAUACAAAAUCAACACAGUGUACAUCAAUUAAAAGAAUCAAUUAUAGAUUAGAUUAAUCGACUUGAAUACAAAAUGAUGCACACAAAAAGUCCAUAUGCACUAUCAAUUACAUCAGUAAAAUAAUAGACUGCACAAGAGGAAAGGAACAUGCAAUUGUUCCAAUAUAGGCAGGAUACAAUCCUAUCGUCCGUUCACUAGUUGCUAAAACCACCACAACACCAACAACUUCUCCAAUCCCUACCUUGAAGGGUGGCAAAACAAGAGCAAAAGGGUGAAAGCUCCAAUACAGCUCGUCAUUUCCAAAGGGAAAAGAAUUGGGAAGAUACCAAUCCUCCAAAAAGAUUGAAGAUACCAAUACAAAAUGAGGUGUUAUGUGAUGUAGUUCCAAUGGCACAAGCCACAUGUUAUUAGGAAGACCUUGGCAAUAUAAUAUGCGAGUAGUAGAACAUAAUGGGUUUAAAAACACUUACUCGUUUGUCAAAGAUGGUUAAAAAAGUUGUUUAAAAAGUUAUUUUUUAACAUUUACGCCUACGUAUAAUGCAUAAGGAAUCACUUGAGAGUGAAAUGAUGAAAAGGGAGAACUUGAUGAUACACAAGGAAUUGGAUUUGAGGACAAAUCCUUUUCAAGAAAGGGGUAUGAUGUGCCCCUACAUGGGACAUUUGAGAUUCCUACUCAUCAUGGAUAUAAACUUGGUAUCUUCAAGCUGCAUGGAAAAUACAUGGCUUGUAGGGAUAAUGGGUCUAAGUAAAGUGAUGUAUUUGGGCCUAUUGGGGUGCAGAAGAUCAAGCCGAGUGGAAAGCCAUGUCGGAACUGUCACUAGGUCCAAGGGUAAAAUUGGUAUUUUGCCAAAAUGUGAAGAAGCUUCUUAUAAUGGAAGAACACCCAAGUGACAUGCAAAGCAUGAGAUUGGCAGAGGGGUUUGGGACUCCUAGAGCAUGUGGAAAAGAAGACCAGUAAAGAAUUUACUUCUUCCUAAAAUUUUUAGCCUUAAAUUAAGGAAACCUAGUUAUAUCCUACUUUCAAGUCCUACAUCAUCUUAAAUAAUAACUAAUUUUAAUCCUAUUUCUUCUUUGUGUGGACAUGUGAGGCUAUUUAAGUGACCACAAGACUUUUUGUUUAGUUAAGUAAUUCAUAUUUAUUUAUGUAGUAGGCUUACUAGUUACUAACCAAGUACUAGUAGGAUUUAAUAGUUUAUUUUAAGCAGGAUGUUAUGUAAAGCCUAUAAAUAGGUUUGUUUCUAAAUGGUUUUGGUUAUUCAUUAAUAAUACAUCAAAUUGCUUUUCAAGCUCCAUUUUUAUCACUUUUUAAGUAUGGUAAAUUCAACUUAUCAUCAUAAUCCAUGGGUGUGGCGUCAAAGUUGUUAAUUUUAUUUGUGGCGUUCUACAUAUCAAAGAUAAUUAAUUCCUAUCUAUCUAUCUAUAAUAUUCUUUUUUAGCUUAGUUAUUGUUAGAAUCAAUAUUAUUGUUUAAAGGCUAGUGUAUCUGAACCAUUACGUUACUUUAAGUAUGUGUUUUGUUCAAGUUGAGAAUAUUUGUAAUGGUUAUUGUUUAAGUCUUUUUUUUUUUUAUGUGAGUUUCUGGCAAAGUGUUGUUUGUUGGUUUAGUGCUUGUGUCCUUGGAGCAAAUAAAAAAUGGAUGGCUAAGGUUGAAUGAAAAUAUUAAAAAUAGAAAAAAUAAUGCUGCGAAAGAUUGAACAUUGAAUCUUUAGUUUGUUAAAGGAGUCCCUUGACCACUAAGCUACAUCCUGACUUGUAAAUAUCAUUUUCAUUUGAAGUACAUGUAUUUUGGUUUGGUUUUUUACCUAUUUUUUUCCUUUGAAGACCAAACAGAAUUAAAUUAUCUAAUAAAUUGAACCAAACUUCUAAUGCAGUUCAGUUUGAUUCAGGUUUUUUGGGUUUUUAACUUAGUUUUUCUCACCCUACUCAAAAGUGUGUAGUACUAAUAGAAAGACAGCCAGCCCUCAUCAUUUUCACUUUUCUAAGUAUCUGCCUGUUUUUUAUUUUUAAAAGAAGUAUAUUGUAGUUCUAGUCUUCUAGACAAAAUUUGGUUGCAUUGUUGAACAAGUCUCAAUUUUUUUUGUUGAAAAAAAGAAGCAUGUGGAUUACAAAGUGUUGACUUAUUUACUAAUCCUAGCUGAUUCUAGAGAUUUGAUUUGAUCUGAUUAGGAUCCUUAAUUAUCUCUGUAAUUAUUAUUUGAUUAUUUGCUUCCUGUUUAGAUAUGAUUCUCUGUGUAUAAAUAGUCAUGUAGAUCAAUUGUAAAGAUUAAGAGUGAAAUACAAGAAUACUCAAAAUUUUCCCCAAAAUUCUUCAUGGUAUCAGAGCCUUUUCCUGAUUUUUUGGGUCCAAAUUCAAUUUUUCCUCUUUAGGGUUUUCAAACCCUAGAUCUACCUUUUUGGUACUAACCCAUUUACGAGCCUCUCAAUCUCUCACCGCCGGCACCAGGAGAACCGCCGGACUGCCGCCGGCUGAUCGACCAGCUCCGACGCCGGAAAAGCCUGCGCGUGAGGCUCACGCGCCACCCCUUCCCGGCGCAUGACCCGUUGCUUCCCAGCGCGUGACCCAUUAUCUGUCACUGCUUUGCUGCUCCGAUCACUCCGGCGACAAUUCCGAUCAUCUUUUCGGCCUUCCCGUGCUGCUACCCGGUCUUUUUGGUGAAUCAAUUGGGCUCUCUUGUGUGUACAACCUUGGAUACCUCCUAUUCUGUCACAGUUUAUAAACCUUUACCAUGGCAGAAGGUAAAAGGGUGUCAAUGACAGAAGGAAAAAGGGUGUCAAUAGCAGAAGGUAAUGCUUCAUCUCUUCAUAAUAUUCCAUGGAUUAUCGAUUCUGGUGCGAAUAGACACAUGACAGGUUCUUCUAAAGGCUUUCUCAAUUAUUUUCCUUCCCUAACCAAAGAUAGUGUCAAAAUUGCUGAUGGCUCUCUUACUCUCAUAUCCGGAACAGGUUCUGUUAUUUGCACAUCCAAUAUUAAAUUAUCAUCUGUCCUCCAUGUUCCCCACUUUCCUGUCAACCUUUUAUCUGUUAGUGCUAUCACCAAUGCCCUUAAUUGUAAAAUUGAAUUCUUUCCUGAUCAUUGUGUUAUUCAGGAUCUUCACACAGGAAAGAGGAUUGGCAAUGGUAGACUGCACGAUGGCUUAUAUAUGUUGGAGGGUGAUCCAAGUUCUUCGAUAUCUCAAGCCUCUUUUGGAGAAAAUAAGGAUGUCAAUCAGGAAAUAAUACAAUGGCACAGACGGUUAGGGCAUCCAUCAUUCUUUGCCUUAGAAAAACUUUAUCCUAAUUUGUUUGCUAGAACUCAGUUUGAUUCUCUAUUUUGUGAUGCUUGUGAGUAUGCUAAACACACUAGAACAUCCUAUCCUUUGAGUCAUAAUAAAAGUCAAAUUCCUUUUGCGACUAUUCAUUCUGAUGUUUGGGGGCCUACUCAAACUGUCUCCUUGUCUGGUAAUCGAUGGUUUGUCACCUUUAUUGAUUGUUGUACUCGAAUGACUUGGGUCUAUUUGAUUAAAGCUAAAAGUGAUGUCUUUUAUUGUUUUCAAUCCUUUCAUAAGAUGGUUUGUACUCAAUUUGAUACUAAGGUGAAAAUUUUGAGAACUGACAAUGGAAGAGAAUACAUGGAUAGUAGCUUUUCUGCUUAUUUGGAGAGUAAUGGGAUAAUACACCAGACUAGUUGUCCUUAUACUAGUGCUCAAAAUGGCGUUGCUGAGAGGAAAAAUAGGCAUCUAUUGGAGGUAGCUCGAUCUCUUAUGUUCACCAUGAAUCUACCCAAAGCAUAUUGGGGAGAUGCAAUUCUUGCAUCUGCUUAUCUUAUCAAUAGAAUGCCUCUCAAGACCCUUGACUUUAUGAGUCCUUUGGCGGUUCUACAAGGGAAGAAUUCAUAUGUUGUUCCACCAAAAGUAUUUGGGUGUGUUUGCUUUGUCCAUACUAGGACGACAGGAAAACUGGAUCCCAAGGCCCUUAAAUGUGUGUUUGUUGGGUAUUCUCCAACACAGAAAGGAUACAAGUGUUAUCAUCCUCCCUCUAGGAAAUACUUCGUUAGUAUGGAUGUUACCUUCCGAGAAACUGAACCCUACUUCAGCACCACCCACUCACCUCUUCAGGGGGAGAAUAAUGAGCAAGAAGAGGUGAUCCCGAAUUCUGUGAUUCUGAAUGAUAUGGUUCAACUAGAAAGUUUGAGUUCUAGUAGACAGGGGGAGAUGUCCAAUCAGGGAGAGAGAACUGGUCGUUUGGACAAGCCAGAUUUGAGAAGGUAUUCAAGGAGAGACAAGGCAGAAGAAGCCAUUAUGCAGUCUACUCAGAGUCAAGAAUCUUCUCAUGGUGAGUUACCCAGUCAUGAAUCUUCUUCUGAUGAGUUACCCACAACUCUUUCUUCUGGUGAGUUACCCACAACUCUUGAAUGUUUCAAUGACUUAGAUAAAUCUAUUGCACAAAGAAAAGGGGUCAGAUCUUGCACUAAACACCCUAUUUCUAACUUUGUUUCUUAUGAAUCUUUAUCUCCUUCCUAUAGAGCCUUUGCCUUGUCUAUUUCCUCUGUGUCUAUUCCACAGGAUUGGAAGAAAGUUUUUGCAGAUCCUAAAUGGAAGAAAGCAAUGAUUGAAGAGAUGAAAGCAUUGGCUAAAAAUGAGACUUGGGAGCUUGUCACUCUCCCACCUGAGAAGAAACUCGUUGGCUGUAAAUGGGUGUUCACAGUGAAACACAAAGCUGAUGGCACAAUUGAACGGUUUAAGGCCAGAUUGGUUGCUAAAGGAUUCACCCAAACCUAUGGAGUGGAUUACCAAGAGACAUUUGCCCCAGUUGCAAAAAUGAACUCAAUCAGAGUUUUGUUAUCUUUCGCAGCCAACUUGGACUGGGACUUGCAACAGUUUGAUGUGAAGAAUGCUUUUCUCCAUGGAGAUUUAGAGGAAGAAGUGUUCAUGGAAAUUCCUCCUGGGUUCGCUGAUGAGAAGACACAAGGAAAGGUGUGCAGGUUAAAAAAGGCUUUGUAUGGGCUAAAACAAUCUCCUAGAGUUUGGUUUGACAGGUUUAGCAGAGCCAUGCUGUCCUUUGGUUACCAACAAAGCAAUGCUGAUCACACUCUGUUUAUCAAACAUCAUAAGGGUAAGAUCACCAUUCUUAUUGUGUAUGUUGAUGAUAUAGUGGUGACAGGUGAUGACAAAGAGGAAAUGGCUCAACUAAAGAGGUUGUUGGCCCAGGAAUUUGAAAUCAAAGAUCUGGGAAAACUGCAAUAUUUUCUAGGUAUCGAGGUGGCUAGAUAAAAAAAAAGAAUUUUCAUCUCCCAAAGAAAGUACAUUCUGGAUCUUUUGGAAGAAACUGGUAUGAUGGGGUGUAAACCAGCAGAAUCUCCCAUUGAAAGCAAUCACAAGCUGAAAGCAGGAACUGGUGAGUCCGUGGAUAUUGGAAGAUAUCAAAGAUUGGUAGGAAGGUUGAUUUAUCUCUCACACACUCGACCGGAUAUAGCCUAUGCUGUUAGCUUAGUCAGCCAAUUCAUGCAUGACCCUCGCGAGACUCAUAUGCAAGCUGUACUUCGCAUCUUGAGAUACCUAAAGUCUGCGCCAGGGAAAGGGCUUCUUUACUCCAAACAUGGUCACCUCCGAAUUGAAACUUUUACAGAUGCAGAUUGGGCAGGAUCUCUCGAUGACAGGAGAUCCACCUCUGGCUACUGCACAGUUGUGGGGGGGAACCUUGUCACCUGGAGGAGCAAAAAACAAAGUGUUGUUGCUCGGUCAAGUGCGGAAGCAGAAUACAGAGCAAUGGCCCAAGGAGUAUGUGAACUCUUAUGGUUGCAGAAGUUAUUGGAAGAGUUGAGAUUGUUCGAGAGAGACAAGAUAACCUUGUAUUGUGACAAUAAAGCUGCUAUAAGUAUAGCACAAAAUCCAGUCCAACAUGACCGAACCAAGCACAUUGAAAUUGAUCGGCACUUCAUUAAAGAAAAAUUAACAGAUGGUAUUUUGAGCCUAGUACAUGUGACUUCUACGGGGCAACUUGCGGAUGUGUUUACUAAAGGACUUAACAACAAGAUCUACCAUAAUCUUAUUUGCAAGUUGGGCAUGUGUGACAUCUUUGCACCAACUUGAGGGGGAGUGUUGACUUAUUUACUAAUCCUAGCUGAUUCUAGAGAUUUGAUUUGAUCUGAUUAGGAUCCUUAAUUAUCUCUGUAAUUAUUAUUUGAUUAUUUGCUUCCUGUUUAGAUAUGAUUCUCUGUGUAUAAAUAGUCAUGUAGAUCAAUUGUAAAGAUUAAGAGUGAAAUACAAGAAUACUCAAAAUUUUCCCCAAAAUUCUUCACAAAGAAAAUAUUAAGAAAAUGAAAUGAAGAAAAAAUGUUUUGUUUAUUGUUGCAAUUAGCCUUUGAUGUGAUUGCUUUCUUGCAUAAUCAAUCAAUUUACUUGUUUAUUUGAUGCACUCAUGGGCAGAAAAUUUGCAUCUAGAAAUAAACCAAAUUGUUUUUUAGCUCCUCUUCCUUUUUCCUCAAGUGCAAAGUGGACAUUAUCUAUACGUCUUUAUGAUGUAUUGAAUUUCAAUUUCUUUUUUCAACUAUAUAUAGAAAUCCUGUGUGAAUUUUCUAUAAAUGUCUGAACAGUAGUGGGGAAAAGUGCAAC